CUUUGGUCAAACUAAAGGUUAUUAUUUAUUAUUAUUAUUUUUUUGUAUAUGCUGUCACCAAUAUACGUCAUGCUCCACACUCCAGUCCAGUAGGUGGCGGAAAUGCACCUUUUAAGUGGGUUUGCCAACCGCCAUUAAAAAGAAAAGAAGAAGAAGAAGUAGAGGAGCUGCGUUUCAAUUGUUUGGCGCGCAGGUGGUUGACUGUGAGUAGAAGAACAAUCUCUGGUCUUGCCAUUCUUUUUCGUCAAUAA
rnacentral:lncRNA from 1 species